CCAUUGAAAUAAACAAGCAGCCAGUUAUUAAAACGGGAACAUGGCGGCCGCGGACCCAGCCACAGCUUCAUUUUGCAAAGCGCAGCGCAGCGCGGGCGGCCGCCGCCGCCGCCGGACACGCCAGUGACCCCGUACACCUGAGAUGUAUCUGAGUACUGAAGCUCAUACACACACAACCUGUAGAACUGUUUUAACUGCCUCAUUGAGUCUUGGUCUUUGAAUUCGGGGUCUGACUGAAUUUUUCCAGUUGCUGAUAUGUGUUCAAGAUGAGUGGGAUGGGAGAAAAUUCCUCUGACCCAUCUAGGGCAGAGUCAAGGAAGCGAAAGGAAUGUCCUGAUCAGCUUGGACCCAGCCCUAAAAGAAGCACUGAGAAACGUAACCGUGAGCAGGAGAAUAAAUACAUAGAAGAACUUGCAGAGCUGAUUUUUGCAAAUUUUAAUGAUAUUGACAACUUUAACUUUAAACCUGACAAAUGUGCAAUCUUAAAAGAAACUGUGAAGCAAAUUCGUCAGAUAAAAGAACAAGAAAAAGCUGCAGCAGCCAAUGAAGAUGAAGUACAAAAAGCAGAUGUAUCAUCUACAGGUCAGAGUGUCAUUGACAAGGAUGCACUUGGACCAAUGAUGCUUGAGGCCCUAGAUGGGUUCUUCUUUGUAGUGAACCUGGAAGGCAAUGUUGUGUUUGUUUCUGAGAAUGUGACACAGUACCUAAGGUACAACCAAGAAGAGCUGAUGAACACAAGUGUGUACAGCAUCCUGCAUGUAGGGGACCACAAUGAAUUUGUCAGAAAUCUGCUGCCAAAAUCUUUAGUGAAUGGGGGACCUUGGUCUGGUGAAGCUGCUAGGCGCAACAGUCAUACCUUUAAUUGUCGGAUGCUGGUAAAACCUUCAACUGAUUCUGAAGAAGGCCAUGAUAACCAGGAAGCACAUCAAAAAUAUGAAACUAUGCAGUGCUUUGCUGUUUCUCAACCAAAGUCCAUCAAGGAGGACGGUGAAGAUUUGCAGUCAUGCUUGAUUUGUGUGGCAAGAAGAGUCCCAGUGAAGGAAAGGCCACUUCCCUCAUCAGAGAAUUUUACUACUCGCCAAGACCUACAAGGUAAGAUAACAUCACUGGACACUAGCACCAUGAGAGCAGCCAUGAAGCCUGGCUGGGAGGAUUUGGUGAGAAGGUGCAUUCAAAGAUUCCAUGCACAGCAUGAGGGAGAGAUAUCAUUUGCCAAAAGGCAUCACCAAGAAGUGCUGAGGCAGGGACUAGCGUUCAGUCCUGUCUAUCGAUUUUCCUUGUCUGAUGGCACUAUAGUUGCUGCCCAAACAAAGAGCAGGCUCAUCCGUUCUCAGACUAAUGAACCUCAGCUUGUAAUAUCCUUGCAUAUGCUUCACAGAGAGCAGAAUGUCUGUGGAAUGAAUCAGGAUUUGCCUGGACAAGCAGUGGGAAAGACAUUGAACCCAAUUAGUUCCAGCAGCCCUGCCCAUCAGGCUAUGUGCAGUGGGAAUCCAGGUCAGGAUAUGACCAUCAGUAGCAAUAUAAAUUUUGCCAUAAAUGGCCCAAAGGAACAAAUGGGCAUGCCAGCAGGCAGGUUUGGUGGUUCAGGGGGAAUGAACCAUGUGUCAAGCAUACAAGCAUCCACACCUCAGGGUAGUAACUAUGCACUAAAAAUUAAUAGUCCCUCACAAAGCAGCCCUGGCAUGAACCCAGGACAGCCAAACUCUAUGCUUUCCCCAAGGCAUCGUGUGAGUCCUGGAGUGGCAGGAAGUCCUCGAAUCCCACCCAGUCAAUUUUCCCCUGCAGGAAGCUUGCAUUCACCUGUGGGAGUUUGCAGCAGCACAGGAAAUAGCCAUAGUUAUACCAACAGUUCCCUAAAUGCACUUCAAGCCCUCAGUGAGGGCCAUGGAGUUUCUCUAGGGUCAUCGUUGGCUUCACCUGACCUAAAAAUGGGUAACUUACAAAAUUCCCCGGUUAAUAUGAAUCCUCCUCAGCUAAGCAAAAUGGGAAGCCUGGACUCUAAAGACUGCUUUGGACUUUAUGGGGAGCAAUCAGAAGGUACAACUGGACAAACAGAAAGUACCUGCCAUUCAGGAGAACAGAAAGACAGUAAUGAUAACAACAUGCCCCAAGUUGUCAGUAGUGAGAGACCUGAUGGACAGAACAGACUGCAUGAUGGAAAAAGCCAGACAAAGCUCUUACAAUUGCUGACCACCAAAUCUGAUCAGAUGGAGCCUUCACCCUUGUCCAAUCCCACUGGAGACGUUAGCAAAGACUCCACAGGAGGUUUAUCUGGUUCUGGUUCAGCACAUGGAACCUCGCUCAAGGAGAAGCAUAAAAUUUUGCACAGACUUUUGCAGGAUAGUAGUUCUCCUGUAGAUUUGGCCAAGCUUACAGCAGAGGCCACAGGCAAAGAACUGAAUCAGGAGUCCAAUAGCACAGCUCCUGGUUCAGAGGUGACUGUUAAACAGGAACCAGUGAGUCCUAAGAAGAAAGAGAAUGCACUACUUCGCUACUUGCUAGAUAAAGAUGAUACUAAAGAUAUUGGCUUAUCAGACGUAACCCCAAAACUGGAGCGGUUGGAUAGUAAGACGGACACUUCUGGUAGCACAAAAUUAAUAGCUAUGAAGACAGAAAAGGAGGAGAUAAACUUUGAGCCCAACGAACAGCCAGGCAGUGAAUUGGAUAACUUGGAGGAGAUUCUGGAUGAUCUACAGAACAGUCAGUUACCACAGCUUUUCCCAGAUACUCGGCCAGGUGCUCCAGCUGGUUCAGUUGACAAGCAAGCCAUUAUCAAUGACCUCAUGCAGCUUACUGGUGAAAACAGCUCUAGCACUUCCACUGGGGCCCAGAAACCAGCAAUGAGGAUUUCGCAGAACACUUUUAAUAACCCACGGGCAGGGCAACUGAGCAGGUUAUUACCAAACCAGAAUUUACCACUUGACAUUACACUGCAAAGCCCAACAGGUGCAGGAAAUUUCCCUCCUAUAAGAAAUAAUAGUCCAUAUUCAGUGAUACCUCAGCCAGGAAUGAUGGGCAGUAUGAUUGGAAAUCAAGGAGCUUUAGGAAACAAUAACGCAGGAAUGAUUGGUGGUAAUACCCCUCGGCCUGCCAUGACAUCUGGAGAGUGGGGAGCCCCAGGUUCUGCUGUAAGGGUAACUUGUGCUGCUACAACCAGUGCCAUGAAUAGGCCAAUCCAAGGAGGCAUGAUACGUAACCCAACAGCCAGCAUUCCUCUGAGACCCAGCAGCCAACCUGCCCCAAGACAGAUGCUACAAUCUCAGGUCAUGAAUAUGGGGCCCUCUGAAUUGGAGAUGAAUAUAGGGGGACCUCAAUAUAGCCAACAGCCAGCCCCUCCAAAUCAGACUGCACCAUGGCCAGACAGCAUCUUGCCUAUAGAUCAGGCAACUUUUAGCAAUCAGAACAGGCAACCAUUUGGCAGCUCACCAGAUGACUUGCUGUGUAAUCAUCCUUCAUCAGAGUCACCAAGUGAUGAGGGGACUCUCCUGGAUCAGCUUUAUAUGGCACUAAGAAAUUUUGAUGGCCUAGAAGAAAUUGACAGGGCUCUAGGAAUACCAGAACUGGUUAGCCAGAGCCAGGCUGUAGAUCCAGAGACAUUCUCAAGUCAGGAUUCGAACAUCAUAAUAGAACAAAAGGCACCAGUUUUCACUCAACAGUAUGCAUCUCAGGCUCAAAUGGCCCAGGGUAGCUAUACACCCAUGCAGGAUCCAAACUUUCACCCAAUAGGACAGCGACCUGGUUAUCCAACGCUGCGUAUGCAAACUAGGCCUGGUCUCAGGCCUACUGGUAUAGUGCAGAACCAACCAAAUCAGCUGAGACUUCAACUUCAACAUAGACUCCAAGCACAGCAGAAUCGCCAGCCCCUGAUAAAUCAGAUCAGCAGUGUCUCCAACAUGAACCUGUCUCUGAGGCCUGGAGUACCAACACAGGGACCUCUCAAUGCACAGAUGCUGGCCCAGAGGCAGAGGGAGAUACUGAGUCAGCACCUAAGGCAAAGACAGAUGCACCAGCAACAGCAGGUGCAACAGCGAACUCUAAUGAUGAGAGGACAGGGUUUGAAUAUGACACCGAGCAUGGUGGCCUCUGGUGGUAUACCAGCAACCAUGAGCAACCCACGGAUUCCACAAGCAAAUGCACAGCAGUUUCCAUUUCCUCCAAACUACGGAAUAAGUCAGCAACCUGAUCCAGGCUUCACAGGGGCUACCACUCCCCAGAGUCCACUGAUGUCCCCAAGGAUGGCUCAUACUCAGAGUCCUAUGAUACAGCAGUCUCAGGCUAACCCUGCCUAUCAGUCCUCUACAGAGAUGAAUGGAUGGGCACAAGGGAACAUGGGUGGGAACAGCAUGUUUUCACAACAAUCCCCACCACAUUUUGGGCAGCAAGCAAGCACCAGCAUGUAUAAUAACAACAUGAACAUCAGUGUAUCCAUGGCAACCAACACAAGUGGUAUGAACAACAUGAACCAGAUGACAGGGCAGAUCAGCAUGACCUCAGCGACCUCUGUGCCUACAUCAGGGUUGUCCUCCAUGGGUCCUGAGCAGGUUAAUGAUCCUGCUAUGAGGGGAGGCAAUCUUUUUCCAAACCAGCUGCCUGGAAUGGAUAUGAUAAAGCAGGAGGGGGAUGCAACACGGAAAUAUUGCUGACCCUGAAGGUUGUUGGUUGCUCCCUUCUCCAGCUGACUGGGCUCCCCAGCCCAAAACCCUAACCAGUUUGAAGAGCUGCAUCUGUUUGUUAUGACCCAUCUGACCUGCCAGCCAGUUCCACUGGAGCAAGUUCAGCUAAGCGCUGCAGACAGGACUCAGCUCUGCCUUCCAGAGUGGGGUCAAAAUGGUUGUUGCUGGAAGAGCAGCCUCUUCUUUGACAGUCUGAAGCUAGCGUACAGACAGUUGCUCAGUCUGUUCACUGCAUUCACCUUAGUGCAACUUAGAUCUCUCCUGCAAAGUAAAUGUUGACAGGCAAUUUUCAUAAACCAUGUCAGAUUGAAUGUAUUUAAAUGUAUGUAAUUAAGGAAUAACAACCAUGCUCUCGUUCUGUUUCUGUUUAGUUCUAGACCUUAUUUUUUUGCUUUGUUUUCCCUGGCUACUCAGUCUGGUGCAAAGGAUUCAGUUCCAUCUGAAAAUUUGUGUUUUAAACUAAGGCCUGCAUUUUGGGGGUGGGGAGUGGAUCAAAACCUGGUAAGGGUGGGAGGCAAUGUCUGGUGCAUAUACAAAUAUAAUAAGUGGGUUUGAUUUCAAGGACAAGUUAGGGAAGGUGAACGUGUAGAAUACUGUACGAAUCAAUUUUGAAUGGGUUCAAAGUUGUGAAACGGGCUAAGAAUACUCUGUGAGAGGGCUGUUUACAAGGCACAUUUUUUAAUGCUUGUAAUACCAAUCAUGAAUCAAAAAGAUCGAUGUAAGUUACUUUUUUGUUAAAUUCCUAAAAAUCAGCAACCAUGAUUUUACCUGACUCUUGACAUUUUUCUCAUUCACCUCUUCUAUACAAUAAAAGAACAGGUAAGCCCUUCAUUUCCCUAAGUGUGUUACCAGCAGUUUAGACUGCAAGUAACCAGUUGCUGAAUAAUGGGGUUCAAUGAGAAUGCAUUUACUGGUGAUGGUAGUGGCAGAAUUGGUGCAUAAUAUCAAAAAGAGCUAAAGACACCUGCUUUAAAACAUGUUAAUUUCCAUUCCCUGUCCCCUUUGUUGGGAAAAUAAUGAUUUUUUAAAAACCUAUGGCAGAUAUCACUACAGGCAGAACCACCAUCGUGCAUUUUUAAUUAUUUUAAAGCAGUGUGGACUCUGAGGAAGUUUUGUAAGGUACAUAAAAUCCAGUUUAUAUAUAAACAAGCAAUAAUUUAAGUUCAAAACUUAAGUGUUUUAACUGUAUAAUUUUUGUGAGAUAUACAUGUUGUGGAGUUGAUUCCAAAUGAGGUACUUCAGUAUUAAAUUAGAUAUCUUCAUAGCUGUGUGUGUCUCCUGAAAAAGUGUUUUGUAAAGGAUCACAAUGCCUUGAUUAGACCUAAUUUGUAGGCUUGAGAGUUUUCAUUUUUUAAACCUUGUGAUUCUGCUCAUGAAGUCAUUUAUCUAAACUAUAUUAUAUGCAGCCACUGUAGGAACCAAUUCUUGAUUUUUGUAUGUUUAUAUUCUUUCUUAAUGACUCUUAGAGAAACUAACUGUUACUAAGCAGGCCACUGUGGGGGUGGCUUUUUUCUUGCCCAUUGGGGUUGGAGUAAUCUUUACAAAACUGGCAUCAGUUUAUGAGGACUUGAAAUACCAAGGAAUUGAUGAAGUUCUUUGACUUCCUGUUUCUUUCCUCUAACUCCCAAUCCACACACUUUCUUACCUGAUCUCCAAUGUUUUGAUGUCAUUUAAAAUGCAAUGCAUUUGAUAAUAUCUCAUCAGCCAUGUCUUUUGGGAGUGAAAGGUUUAUUUUCUUGUAAUUUGAUUUUUUUUUGAGGUGGGGAUUAAAAUGUACAAACCUACUUCUUGCUCUAUAUAAAGCUGAAGAAAAUAUGUUAAAGAUGAUUGGAAAGAGCUGUUUUCCAUGGAGCAGUUUUGCUGAAAACCAAGGAAAAUCAGAAUCUGUUUGUCUCCUGUGAGGGGGAUUCAAAACCCAUGGGAAAAAAAUAUCUUUCAGCAGUUACCAUUUUGUUGAUCAAACUAAAAAAAGGAAAUACUUAAUCAACUGAGCCAUUGUGUUUUGCUCUGGUGAAAAACUAAAGUAACUGUCAGCCCUGAGCUCCAUAGCCUCAUUGACAUGAUGACAUUUGUAUUAAAUAUACAUUAUAUACCUGAUUUUAAAUUAUUUAUAUAAGAAUUGUAUAAAUUAGAAGGACUUUAAUGUCAUGCAACACAAAGUGUAAAUGGGUUUUAAACUAAUUCUGUUUGUAUUAUAUUUUGUUUCUAACCUCUUUUCAUAACCUUUGGCACCAUGGACAAAAUUAGCAGUUUAUAUUUCUCCCAAUUCAUGACAGAUCUGCACAUCUUUCUAAUAUAUUUGCGAUUGUUAGCUCAUCACCCAUUUUCAUUUUAAAAGAAAAUAGAUUUUACCUAUCCCGUUGGCUCAGAUUGCGUUCCUGCUGUUUUAGUUACUGUCUAACUAAUUAAAAACACGAGUGAAGGAUUUUUCUGAUCAUAUUGAUCACUGUAGAAACAAAAAUAAAAAACCAAAUCAAGUCCCUUCAUCUUCAGUAUUUUUCAUCCUGUAUACAGCAGAUUUGUUGGAGAAAGUAUUCAAAUUUUGUUUAUUAGACAAAAAAACAGUGUUCAAGUUACAUUGCUAAAUGUGAAAACACAUAAUGUGAAAAAUUAACAUACAUAAACUUGGUAAUAUGACCCAUUUAAGUGUUCACGUAAUGUAGUAAGUUUGAAAAGUGGACUGAGCUGUUUUGCUAUAACAAAUUAAUUUGUACUUAAAGUUGAAAAUAUUGUCCCACACAAUAUCUCUCUUGGUCUGUAUUAAUAGAAAGCAAUGUUUUUGCAGUUUAUAUAAUGCAUUUUUUAGUCUUUGUUUAAAAUGGAGUUCAUAUGGGCUUAACAGAUGAAGUGGGUGGCACAGCUCCACUUGCAGAACCCAAAGAUACACAAUCAGUUUUGAAAUGCAACUUAAGCCAUUAAUUGUUGGUGUGAAUUUAAAGUUUUCUAGUAUUUGUAUGGUAGUAUGCUGCCUAAGAGCAAAAGCAUUCUCUGCACAAAAAAUUACUGUAGUGGCUUUGAUUUUAAUUAGAAUUUUCUCCCUGGUGUUUCUUUGUAGACUAAAACAAAAUCUUUUCAGUUUCUUACUACAGGUAAAGCUAUGUGCAAGAACCUCAAAAUGCUAAAAUCUAGCAUAAUGCCUUAGAUCUGUUUUUAAGUCUUGUAUAUUCCUACAUAGCUGUCUGAUGUAUUAUAUUUGUAUAGUGAAUUGUGUACAAUUUUGGAAUAAGUGCAUCAUCACUUAUCUUUAUGUUGCUCGGUAGAGAUGAUGGACACGUUUCUUCAAACAUUUACUGUCAUUUAAUUUUUCCCUUUUGUCAUUUGUGGGUUUUAUUUGUACAGUUCCUCAUGAAGUUGCAUCUGAGAUGUGUGUAUAUGAAAAGAUUAUACAAGGGUAAAAUUUAAGCAAUAUAUUAACUAUGGUUCUUCAGGAGAAAGCUUACAGUGUUUCAGGUUGUGAUUUAUUUUCAAAAUGGAGUUGACUCUGAACAUCACCUUGUUCACCUGCAUUGAUGUUUGUAUUUCUAGUGUGAGCAGUUUAUGCAAAGGUAGAUAUAUUCAGAGAAAUUUUAAAUACAUUUAUGCAAGUUAAUAUUGCUUUGCUGAUGCUAUUUGCUUAUUUGAUGUUAAAUAAUGCUAUUGUAAAUAAAGAAUUCUGUUGUUAUUGCAUCAUUUAAUAAAUUUUAAUGCCUUCGGGUUUUACAUGGC